AUGGAUCUGUUCAUGACUGUUAGAGUGUGUGUGGUCAUGGCAGUGGCUUUUUGUUGUUUCUGCUUCAGGCUGCAGAAGAUGGGCUGUUCCUGUAGCACUUCUUCUGACGAGUGGAGCGACAGCGAUAGUGACAGCAGUCUGUCAGAACUCCCACCCUUCGUUAGACGGAGCACGAAGACGGUGGAGCUGAGGCAGCACACCUCCGCAGUAACCCAGCAUGCAUGCUUGGAUGAGGAGGUUAAAGGAGACGGCAGUGGCACAUGUGAGGAACCCCUGGAAUCACAUCCCCGUGUGGCGCUGCCCAGACUGAGCACAGGCGGAGAGGAAAACACUCUCGAUGGGUCAAAGCCGUCCAAACCGGUCCAGUGUGCAACAGAUGAGCCUGGUCCAUCCACGGUUCUGAAAAACAGUUUAUUACCACCUCCUCCUGAACCAGAAACUGGUUUAUUACCACCACCUCCUGAACCAGAAACCGGUUUAUUACCACCACCUCUUGAACCAGACACUGGUUUAUUACCACCACCUCCUGAACCAGAAACUGGUUUAUUACCACCACCUCCUGAACCAGACACUGGUUUAUUACCACCACCUCCUGAACCAGAAGCUGGUUUAUUACCACCACCUCCUGAAACAGAAACCAGUUUAUUACCACCUCCUCUUGAACCAGACACUGGUUUAUUACCACCACUUCCUGAACCAGAAACUGGUUUAUUACCACCACCUCCUGAACUGUCUCUAUUGAGCGAGGUCAAUGUGCGUCUGACCACGGGAUCCUCGCCACAUAUCGUUCAACAAACUCACCGUGGAUUCACCAAAUCCGAGAUCGACUGGCAGGACAAUGCGGCGCUCCAACGUCCGUGGCUUCCUGUGAAUUCCCGCGUAAGGAAAAUCCCAAGCCGAGAAGAGGGCGAUGGUCCCUCAGUCUCAAUUUGCUUUUAUAAAACACUCGAAGACCUGGGCCCCCCGAGACCUGAGUGUCAGGAUGUUGGCACUCAAACUUUGCCCCCUGGUGCUGGUGGAGAUGCUCCUACUCCAUCUUCCAAGAUUGACUCCGUCUGUCCUGAGCGGCGGGUGAUGGCUGAAGGGGGCAACAGCGGGGACAAGCCGAAGGCAACGGUGUGGUCCCAGGGCACACCCCAGGCUGGGUUCCCCCAGAUGGGGGGCGGUGUGGACACCCCAGGGCCAGUGUCGGAGCUCCAGCCCUCCAAGGCUCAGAAUUGUGGGCCAAUGUUGAAUCGGGGUCUGGAGCAGAGUUCAAAGACCAAGGCUGACCACCAACCAGCUCAUCCGCCAGGACAGCAAGUGGGCUCCAAACUAACGUACGCACAGGUCUUGAUGAUGCCCCCACGGAAGCGUGCCCCACCCCCGGACCUUAGCCCCCCCUACCCAGAACAAGAGCCCCAACCAGCUGGGACUCGCCGUCCACUAAAGCUGAGAUAUGCAAGGCUAUGAAUGGAUCGCUAUGGAUAUUUGGUUUUCAGUCUUUACAAAAGAAGCUGAACAAAAUCAACUCUUCAAUUGCUGCUUUAGGGGAUUUUUUUCUUUAGUUUGUUUAGGGUCUUUUUAAAAAAAAUCCAGGUUCUGUUCCCAUGUUUGAAUGUUCCAGUGUUUUUCUUUUAACACACAUACAUAAUUGAUGCUCAUAAUUCUGAUUUCUUCUAUUAAAAAGCACUGAGCAAUAUGUCUGUUUGCAUCUUUUUUAUC
ensembl:lncRNA